AACGAACGCUGGCGGCAUGCCUAACACAUGCAAGUCGAACGAGACCUUCGGGUCUAGUGGCGCACGGGUGCGUAACGCGUGGGAACCUGCCCUUAGGUUCGGAAUAACUCCCCGAAAGGGGUGCUAAUACCGGAUAAUGUCUUCGGACCAAAGAUUUAUCGCCUUUGGAUGGGCCCGCGUUGGAUUAGCUAGUUGGUAGGGUAAAAGCCUACCAAGGCGACGAUCCAUAGCUUGGUUGAGAGGAUGAUCAGCCACACUGGGACUGAGACACGGCCCAGACUCCUACGGGAGGCAGCAGUGGGGAAUAUUGGACAAUGGGCGAAAGCAUGAUCCAGCAAUGCCGCGUGAGUGAUGAAGGCCUUAGGGUUGUAAAGCUCUUUUACCCGGGAUGAUAAUGACAGUACCGGGAGAAUAAGCUCCGGCUAACUCCGUG
rnacentral:rRNA from 1 species